GCUAAGGUCCCCAAAUCAUCGCUAAGUGAUAAAGGAGGUGAGAUUGCCUAGACAACUAGGAGGUUUGCCUAGAAGCAGCCACCCUUGAAAGAGUGCGUAAUAGCUCACUAGUCAAGCGAUCUUGCGCCGAAAAUGAACGGGGCUAAGCGAUGUACCGAAGCUGUGGGAUUAAUUUAUUAAUCGGUAGGGGAGCGUUCCGUAGUAGGAAGAAGCAGUAGCGGCGAGCAGCUGUGGACGAGACGGAAGUGAGAAUGUCGGCUUGAGUAGCGCAAACAUUGGUGAGAAUCCAAUGCCCCGAAACCCUAAGGGUUCCAGAGCCAGGUUCGUCCACUCUGGGUUAGUCGGGACCUAAGGCGAGGCCGAAAGGCGUAGUCGAUGGACACAGGGUCAACAAUCCCUGACUACUGUAUGGGAGCAUUAUUAGGGACGCAUGAAAGAUAGCCAUACCCUGAUUGGUUUGGGAGGAGUUUACGAACUCCGAGUGGUGAAGGAUAGUGUCAAGAAAAGCUAGUAAUGUGAUGAACAUAUGGUACCCGUACCCGAAACCGACACAGGUAGGAGGUUGAG
rnacentral:rRNA from 1 species